rnacentral:rRNA from 1 species
AUGAACGCUGACAGAAUGCUUCACCCAUGCCAGUCGCUGGGGAAGUGGUGCUUGCACCAUGGUAACCAUGGCGGACGGGUGAGUAACGCGUAAGGAACUUACCUGCGGGACCGGGAUAACAGCAGGAAACUGCUGACAAGACCGGAUAAGGUCAUUAAGCUGCAUAGCUUAGUGAUGAAAGGAGACGCCUGCGGAGAGCCUUGCGUCCUAUUAGCUAGUUGGAGGGGUAACGGCCCACCAAGGCGAAGAUAGGUAGCCGGCCUGAGAGGGUGGACGGCCACAAGGGGACUGGGAUACGGCCCUUACUCCUACGGGAGGCAGCAGUGGGGAAUAUUGGACAAUGGGGGCAACCCUGAUCCAGCAAUUCUGUGUGCACGAAGACGGUUUUCGGAUUGUAAAGUGCUUUCAGCAGGGAAGAAGGAAGUGACGGUACCUGCAGAAGAAGCGACGGCUAAAUACGUG